UACGUAGGGUGCAAGCGUUAAUCGGAAUUACUGGGCGUAAAGCGUGCGCAGGCGGUUUUGUAAGUCUGUCGUGAAAGCCCCGGGCUCAACCUGGGAAUUGCGAUGGAGACUGCAAGGCUUGAAUCUGGCAGAGGGGGGUAGAAUUCCACGUGUAGCAGUGAAAUGCGUAGAGAUGUGGAGGAACACCGAUGGCGAAGGCAGCCCCCUGGGUAAAGAUUGACGCUCAUGCACGAAAGCGUGGGGAGCGAACAGG
rnacentral:rRNA from 1 species